GGAUGCUAUUUUUUCUGCAUGGAGGAGAUCAAUGACACAUCUUUGCUUCAUAUACACUUCCAUGUCAGACACCAUUCUGUCAGACUGCCCUCUGCUACCAUCUGUCACACAGCAACAGAAUGUCACAGAAUAUCGGUGGGAAGAUUCAACGUCUACUCCUAUACCACCAACAUCCACCUUUGACAUCCUGGGCCAAUGUCAUGAAACAGGAGGCAUUACUUUCGGAGCAUCCCUCAUACUACAUAUACUGUAGUUCAUGUAUAUAGGUAACAAAACUUAUUUUAAUAUUUUUCAUUCAAACAAACAAAAAAAAAGAGGACAACAAAACCAUAGAACAAGAGGGAUGUGUGAUCUUGUGAAACUGACGUAGUGGCUGCAAUUCUUAGUGAGCUCUUGAAGUGUUCAUCAGAGAUUUUUGAUUAAGCUUUACUCAUCUGUGCUUCAUCCUUGAAAACAGUUGUUCACAAAUAUACAUACUGCCAGAAGCAAUGACAUGAGUAGGGCACGACUGUGAGGCCAGGGAUAGUUCCGUCUGGUAAGAGGGGGCUUAUACAAGUCUGUGAAAGAGACUUCGUCACAUUCUUUUUUGAGUUAAAUACCUGAUUGCAACUCCAUACAUUCCACAUGAAAAUAUACAGGUAAUUUAUUUAAGUCAACUGAAAAUUGAGUUGCAAACACACAAAAAAAUUGAUCAUGUUUUCGGCAACCUUGAAACCUGUUCUCAAAUGCCUUGAUCACAAUGGAAAGCACAGAUGCAUAUUUUGCACUGUUCACAGGACAGUGUUUAGCCAGAGUAUCACAAUGCAUAAACUUAUUUCCUGUAACUUGAGUUAGCACUGCACUACACCCUCUCUGUGCCCUGCUUCCAGCCCAGACAUUGCGGAUGACACACUGAGGUUCAUUUGGUGCUCAGUGAUGGGUGCGUGCCUGGGGCUGGGCCGGGACAGAGCCAUCAUCAUGAUGGUGGGGGGCAGCCGCAGGGAGACCUGGGCCGGGCUGUGUGUGGGCCACGGGUUGGAUGUGGUUGCAAUAGGACAUUGUACCACCAACACAGCACGCUGCUGAAAGCUCAGCCACCACCUAUUCCCCUCUCAGGAAUAUAAUCACUCACACCCCUUCCCAAUUCCUGAAUUCCCUGCAAGCAACGCAGACGCUCUGCUUGGAGCACGUGCCCAGCUUCCUCCAGGCAGUGUUUUUUCCCAUCCCUUUGACAAGGGCGGCACCUGCUCCAAUUGGGUCAAUCCCACAGCCCUGAAGGACAUAUUCAUCAGGCGAACACCUCGGGAUUGCCAGGAGAGCAACCUGAGAUCAGCUCUGCGCCACAACUCCUCCCUUCAGCUCCUUGCACCAGGGUAACAGCAUCACAACUCAUGUUCACACAGCAGCAAUCAGAGUUUAGACUCUCCCUCCCUCUGGCGACCUGUGCUGGGGGCAGGAGGCGGGGGUAGAAAAUGGGGUAGAAAGCAGAAAGCUCCCUAGGAAUUACCACCACGCCUCUGUGCAGUGAUGACGUGCCUUAGGACUGUCCCCAUCAGCGUCCCUGUCACCUGGCUUGCCUCUCGCCAGCUUCCUCCCUCUGUGAGGAUGUUCCCAUGCUGAUCUAAUAAUAGCCUCAACAAACAAGUGAGUACGGGUAACAGCUCUUUCUGCUUACUUUCAGUAAACAGUUUCCCAGUUUGCUUCUCUCAUCUUCCUGCUGUGGUGUUUAGCUUUUAGCUCCAAACUUUAAUGAUCCAUUUAACAAGGGGAAAGUGUCUUCUAGGAACAGCACUGAGCUAUUCUAUGGGCUGCUCAGAGAUGAAAUCCGACCAUUUAUACUCCCUUCUACCAAAGAGAAACAUCCUCAGAACCAAAACAAAGUAAUACAAAGAGAAAACAAAGGGAAUGUCUGGAGACAGGCAGAUGGUGAGCUGUGCAGACAUGCAGUGCAGCCAGAGCAUUAUUGCACCAUGCUAAAACACAGCUUGCCAGAACUUCCAUCUCCCUAGUUUUACAAGCUUAGAAGUGCAAAUACAAACUCUCGCUGUAAGGCUGGAAGUUGGGAGCUCAAGUUUCAGCUAAGGAGUACAUUCCUCAUGCUGCCAUUACUUACGUUCAUGAAAGAAUUGCAUACAUAUUGAAAAACCUGAUUUGGUGAGUCUCUAAAUUAGACAUAUAUAUAUAUGUUUACUUUGAAACAACUUCGUAAAGGUAAAGGAAGGGAAGAACAGAAAAAAAGAUGGUUUUCAUCAGUUGAUGGUAUGUGUUUGAUUUAAAGUAAUCAUAUAUAUAUAUAUCAUCUUCACAAAAGUGUUUGCAUGAUCUUCAGCAGAGGUUUUGAACAUGAAGGUAUACAUCUGUACUGCGUGUCUUUGGUAGAGCGGUGAGGAGCUGGAAUGGGCUGCCCAGGGAGAUGGUGGAGUCACCGACCGUGGAGGUGUUCAAGAAACAUGGAGACGUGACACUGAGGGACAUAGCUUAGUGGGCAAUAGUGGUGAAACUUUGGCUGAAACCUGAAGCCUGCAUGACCGCAUCCAAUGACAAAACACUUUGAGAAAAUGUGGAGCUGAUAUAUUGCAUGAGACCCAUUCCCUCUACAUACCAGCAAAACUCACCUCUAGCAGAGAUGAGAGGCCUGAACACAACUCAAAAAGUGAAGAAACCACAGGAGGAGGAUCUGGGCACCCUGGGAAGUUUUCUGGGAGCAGUUCUCCUCCGUUAUGGCCAGAAGCCACAUCCUUGGGCAGAGACAGUGCAAUACUGCACCCAAGCUGGUCCCACUUACCCGCUCAGGUGCUCUGGUUGUGCAACAUGACUCCAGCACACCCAGAGAGCCAGCACAGUGAGGAGCUGCUGCACAACAGUAGGCACAAUUCAGUACCCCGGCCAGGAGCACUGAAUAAAAAUCAGAGUCACCUGCCCUUCUGCAACCCAAGAAGAUAGCAUCAAAACUGAUGGAGAAAAAGAAAUAAUUAUUUCUCCCCCUUUCUUUUUCCUUCCAUUUCUUCCAUUUACAAGCUUCGGUGCAGUCUGCCCUUGAGCCACAGAGCCAUUGAUUUCAGAGACGUAUGGAGACACACAUCCUUAUUCUUUCAGCUACCAUCAGUAGCUGUUUUUUCAGACUAACCAAUGUAGAAAAAACACCAUGAACAUCUGGCAUGUCAAAGCACACUUGAACUGCUCUGACACGUUAUGCUGGAAUUAAAACAAAGUGUUA